ensembl:lncRNA
GUACGUUGAAGUCUACAUCGUAGGGAGCUUGUAGAUAUUUUGAAGUUAGGAUUCACGGCCAUGCCCACAUCCGCUCUGCUAAUUCAAGAUCACAGAGAAGUCUUCGUGUUCUCACGUUUAUUUGGAUGCUAUUGGAAUGCGUGAUCGUUUCACUGCCUCGGUCUUCGGUUGCAUCAUCUGACAUUCAUUCAAAAGAUUCUUUAAAGUAAUGGAGGUUUUACCGCAAGCCCGAGUUCCUGACUGUGUUUUUCCUCGCAUCCUUACAAACGGACGUGAUCUUCAACAAAGGGAUACUGGCUCCAAAGGAAGCUUCUUCGAGACGAGGACCUGGGCUGCGAUGCCACAUACAGUCACGUGACUAAUGAGGACACACAGUAUAAUGGCACAAGAAAAGAAGAGAACGAUGGCGGUUCCCAUGGACGUGUCUCCUCUGCAUUCAUGCAGCGUUUGAGCUAAGCUAACCCAGCUAGCACCCGAGGCUACUCCUGCCGUGUUGCUUUUUACGACGGAUGAAAGCAGCAGGUGAACGACUGGUUGAGCCUUCCUCUUCACGGAGGACUGGCUCCGUCGAACGUCCCGCAUCGAGCUGCAGUCGCCGGGCGGACAGCCGGACACAGCGAAGCACCCCCGUGGGACGAGAGGAGGCCGACGUCACGGCGACUGGCGACUCAAACGCGGCUGAAGUUGCCGUCUGCCUGGAGAACUGUUGAUGAACAUUUGUGCAUCUGUUUUGCUUAAUGACCUUUAAUCCUUAAAUGUCUGAGUUUGAAAAUCAGCGAAAAGGAGAGCAAAGAGUGGACCUUUCAUUAACCAGAUGGCCAGAAGCACAACUCCAAACGACGGAUACGGUUUCUCUGUGUCUGCUGGACGUGAACCAAGGCGGCGCUUAGCAGACACUUUAAAAAGCACCAUCCCGUUCUGGUUCGCCUCCCAAUGAAAGCGACUGGCUGUGAGGAGCUGCCCUGCGCCGGGCAUCGGACUCACCAUGAUUCCUUCGCACGUAACCUCAUGAGAGUUUUCCCAAGGCCAUUCAGGCAAACUGCUCAGCAACGGUCUAAGGUGCUGGUGAUUUAGACUGUGAUGAGGGGAACACAUUAAAUACCAUGCUGAGCCUUGAAAGCAAACGUUCCAUAGGAGAUGCAACUGUCCAUCGUGCACAAACACCUUGAUAUAACAUACAUAAGACACUUUUCAAGUUUUCAUUUUUUAUAAAAACCCUGCUGUAUAGUUAACACAAUACGGCAGAGCGGAAACUGUUAAUGGUUUACAGAACAUAUUUUCUUCUUCUUUCAUUAGUUCCACAUUCUCCAAUGUGUGAAUGUGCAGCUUUUCUGUGUUUAACCACAUUUACAUUUUUCUUUUUCACUGGUUUGGGGUCUUUUUAAUGAGAAACGGAUGUAGGAAGUAUUUUAUCAGCAGAUCGCCUGAUAAUGAAGGUAAUCGUUAUCUGCAGCUUUGAAUUCAAAUCGCGUAAAGCUGAAUUCAAAGUUAAUUCAAAGCAUGGACAACAGGGAGUGGUUGUUUUUUGCAGAUCAGGGAGAAAUGUGGCCUGACUAAGAUAAUUAAUCUAUUACUGUUUUACUGCACACUUCCACCUCAACUCACCCAGGACAUCAGGAAUAGUAAUAAUGUGCAGCCUUGUUGAUUUGGUUGUCUUACCAUACAAAAUGAAACACAACCUUGUAAAAUACGUUGUAUUUUGCGGGACAAUUUGCAUUAGAAGAGUUUGUCUGGAGGUUAUCCAAUCAGUCUGUGUAAUUUUGUGUGAUUACAGACUGUGUCAUGUAUUAAUAUGGAUAGUUGAACUGAAAACGCUGCAGCUCCAUAAACAGUUGCAUUCCUGUCUAAUCAUGUUUCCCUCAUUAUGCUCAGACCUG